GGUCUUUAGCCCUUUUGUGUUUUGAAUUAGUUGUUUCAGUUUGAGUCAGCAGUGUAAGUAGAUUUUUCCCUCUGAUGAAAAAAUACAUAGUGAGGACAUUAGAUGUGUCUUGUACAUGCAUGUUUUGCUGCUCAUAUUGGUGCUUACUGUUUCAUAGCAGUGCUUUUAGAUAACUGGGUUUUUUUUUCACCAGCCUUUGGACAGCCUUUUGGAGAGCCUCUGGAUUGCCCUUGGACAUCCUUUGGUCGACCACCUUUGCUGCAUCACUUUGUAUCCUUUCAUCCAUCAAUCCAUCAAUCCAUCCAUCCAUCCGUUUUGUGUGCCUUGUUCUCUCUCUCUCUCUCUCUCUCUCUCUCUCACUGUGUUUGUCUGUCUCUGUUGUGCUCUUGUGCUGUCUUCCAGGAUGCCUCGGAAGGGGAGACGCUCCCAGGCCCAGAAGCAGCGCUGGAGGAAGCUGGACGCGUCUGAGAUGCCCACCCCUCCUGUCGACGCACCCCACUGCUCCCGCUCUCCCCAGUACAAGAAGGUUGGUUCCACCCUGCCAGCCGGACGGUUCUGGGAAGAGCGGCAGGCGCGUGCAAACCUUAUUGCACGCCGUGGCACCGGUUACCGCCACAAGGUUAAAAAAUGGCCAACUUCACCCUUUACUGGGCGCAACCACAAGUUGGUCAUUCCUCCUGAGCGCCCUGGAAAGAAGUUCAUUCUUAUUGUCGGGGACUCCCAUCUACGUGCUCUUGUAGAUGGCUUUAUUCGGAUGCCAGAGUCUCGGCUGAGCUUUGGCUUCCUGUCGAUCCCGGGGGCGUCUGCUUCUGAAAUUCGCACUGAGGUUCUGCACGCUGCAGUUCCUCGUGCACCUGAUGCCGUCUGCGUCAUGGCCCCCGGCAACAACCUGACCAGCACCACUGUUGAGAAGGCCGGUGUGGAUUUUGCCAAUCUCCUCACCACUUGUGGCAAUCGCUGGUCCAAGGUUUUUGUGGUCGACUUUCCUCCCCGCCUGGUCGUUGACGUCCAACACCAGGACCUGCUUCGGCAGGAAUACAGACGUGUGGCUGCUCGUAUGGGUGUAAAGUUCUUCAACACUGCAGAGCACUUCCCCCUGAGUGAUUUGGUGCUGUGGAGCAAGGAUGGUGUCCAUCUGAGUGAUUGUGAGGGGAUGGGGAUCCUCGUCCAGUUGUUCUGGUCCGCUGCCAGUGAGCAACUGCUGACACCACUUCCUUCGCCCCGGAUCUCUCCUCAGCCUCCAGUUCGGAAAGCUACAGUGAGAGAGAGAUCCCCUGCUCCACCCAGCCCGAAACCCCGUGAACGGAGGAAUAUUGGUCAGGGCGGCAAGACGAGCCAUCCUCGGGAACCUCCCCGGUCCAGAGGUUCACCAAAGCCCAGGAUGGCUCAACAGCAGGUGGAGGAGAGCUUUCUUCCGCUGAACCCCGUCUGGUUCAGCAGCACAGCCCUAAGUGCCAUGGAGAAAGUGUCUCCCUCCCAUAUGUCUUGCCUGGCAGAUUUCAAUGCCACAGAGAAAGUGUCUCCCUCCCGUAUGUCUUGCCUGGCGGAUUUCAAGGCUUCUCCUAAGCCAAAGAAGCUGUUUGACUCACCCCCGGCCAGAUUGUCCUGCAGUUGGGGCAAGACAGAAACCCCUGUUUGUUCUCCCAUUGCAAAGAUGGCCAAGAUGAUGACCCCCUCACCGAAUAGACAGGUCUGGACAGCUGAUGAUGCGGGCUGCAAGCCUCCUUCUCCUCAGAAGAUGACCCGAACACUGACUCCAUCACAAACCAAGUGGCCCUGGUUCAUGACAGCUGCAUCCACCUCAGCUGAUGCACCAACAGACAAUGAUAAAACCAGGAGCGAGAGUCACCAUGUGGAGUCAGUCCGGGCCAGUCAUUCUCAGAAUGAUAAGAGGCCUGAGGGGGUCCAGGAGGUGCAGUGGUGAGAUCACACGUCCUCCCACAAGUCCCCUCCUCUCGGACGCCCAGUCCUUUUGGAAGUCUUCUACAGCCUCCCCAUAGGCAUGUCUCAGAAUUUGGACUUGGCUUCCUGUGGUCCAGGGAGCGGGGUGUGUAGUGUGCAGUGUCGGCCGACGGCCUGUAUAGGUCCGGUAACGGCUGCAGCUCCACAUCUGCUUCCACGACCUGCUACGACGGGACAUGCCUCAGACAACACAGAAGACCUCCAGAAGGCUGAAAGAAAAGGCUGAAUGUUGUAAAUAAAAAAUGUAUAGUAUGAAAAUA